GUGCUCCGCUCGGCAGCACAAAUCCUAAAAAUUGACACGACGCUGAGAAGAUGAGCCCGGCCCCUGAGUGGGGAGGACAUGCAAACUCCACGGGCGUUCACUAUUUUG
rnacentral:snRNA from 1 species